AGAGAGAGACAUGCGCGCAUAUCAAUAAGCGGAGGAAAAGAAACUAACAAGGAUUCCCUUAGUAACGGCGAGUGAAGCGGGAAGAGCUCAAAUUUGAAAUCUUCAAGGUUUUACCUUGACGAAUUGUAGUUUAAAGAAGUGUUUUCUGCUGAAGUUUUGGUAAAAGUUCUUUGGAAUAGGACAUCAUAGAGGGUGAGAAUCCCGUAUUUGACCAUUAUUUUCAGCUUUGUGAUACACUUUCAAAGAGUCGGAUUGUUUGGGAAUGCAGUCCAAAAUGGGUGGUAAAUUUCAUCUAAAGCUAAAUAUUGGCGAGAGACCGAUAGCGAACAAGUACCGUGAGGGAAAGAUGAAAAGAACUUUGAAAAGAGAGUUAAACAGUACGUGAAAUUGUCAAAAGGGAAGCGUUUGACACCAGUGUUGUUUUCUCGAAAAUCAAUUAAAAAAUGCUCGGAUUUUGUAGUUGCUGUAGACCUUAUAAGCUUCACUGUACAUUUUUCUUGUCUUUUUUAAUGCACUUUUCGUUUAACAAGUCAACAUCAAUUUCUUUUGUUGUAAAAGGGUCAUUGGAAGGUGGCUUUCUUUUCGGAGAAAGUGUUUAUAGCCUUUGGCCUCUGCAAUCGAAGAGACUGAGGUCUGCAGCGUAGACUCUUCGGGGUUAGAUACAUUUGUGCUAAGUUAUAGCUUUUUAUAGACAACUUGUUGACUAUAAUUAGUCUUGUAGCUUACUCGCUUAUGCUAUUUUACCUACGCUUAGGAUGUUGAGUCGUAGAGCACGCAG
rnacentral:rRNA from 1 species